rnacentral:rRNA from 1 species
AGCGAACGCUGGCGGCGUGCUUAACACAUGCAAGUCGAACGUGAAAUGUAGCAAUACAGAGUAAAGUGGCGUACGGGUGAGUAACACGUGGGUAAUCUACCAAAGAGACUGGAAUAACCGACCGAAAGGUUGGCUAAUACUGGAUAGUUCAACUGAAAUAUAAUGUUUCGAUUGGGAAAGGGAGCGAGCAAGCGCCUUCACUUUUUGAUGAGCCCGCGUCUGAUUAGCUAGUUGGUAGGGUAAUGGCCUACCAAGGCGACGAUCAGUAGCUGGUCUGAGAGGAUGAUCAGCCACACUGGAACUGAAACACGGUCCAGACUCCUACGGGAGGCAGCAGUGGGGAAUCUUGCGCAAUGGACGAAAGUCUGACGCAGCCACGCCGCGUGAGUGAAGAAGGCCUUCGGGUUGUAAAGCUCUGUCGGAAGGGACAAAAACGUUUAAGGUUAAUAGCCUUAGAUCUUGAUGGUACCUUCAAAGGAAGCACCGGCUAACUUCGUGCCAGCAGCCGCCGCCG